UACAGGGGGUGCAAGCGUUGUUCGGAAUACUGGGCGUAAAGCGCGGGCAGGUGGCCUUUUAAGUCCUUUGUGAAAUCCCGGAGCUCAACUCCGGAUGUGCAUAGGAUACUGGAAGGCUUGGGACUGGUAGAGGCGAGCGGAAUUCCUGGUGUAGCGGUGGAAUGCGUAGAUAUCAGGAGGAACACCAAUUGCGAAGGCAGCUCGCUGGGACGUCACUGACGCUGAGACGCGAAAGCGUGGGGAGCGAACAGG
rnacentral:rRNA from 1 species